ACUCAUCAAUCAGCACGGAACUCAGCAGCGAGAUAUUUUGCCUGCUGGUUGAAAGGUGAAAGCGAUGGAUGAUGUAUGAUAUGUCUAAAACUUUGUAUCUUUGCUACAACUAUCUUCAACCCCACUGCUCAGGGCCUCAGUUGCCACUUCCAAGUUCCUUUGCGAGCUAUGUGAGAUCCUGAGUUCCGGCUGCUCCAUCCAAAUCCCCCCCAUAAGAGAAACAGAAAACUCUUGUUCAUCAGAUGCAAAUGAUCAAAUGAUCACAGGUUAACAGUUGUAUGUUUCUUCGUAGUAAGUAAUCUCUUUUUGGCUAGCAGUUAGCUCUUUGAUGUGAUGGUGGCGUGGAAGAUAGAGGUGUUCGUGCUGGAGAUGGUGUGGGUGAUGCUCAGCGGCUGGCUCUCCUCCUGCCUCGCCGUCGCCGACGACGUCGCGGCGGCGCUCAGGCAGGUGACGUCUCCGUCUAGUCGUCUGAGCCUUUCAUAUCAGUAGAAAUUGUAGGAUUGGAUGAACUCUGUGUGUGUCUAUAUAUAUAUAUAUACCAUGUCUGCGCUUGUUAUUUGAUUUUGAACUCGGUUUCUGUCGGCUUUUAAUUCAUUUUAUAUGACAUGAUUUGAGCUAAAUUAAGAUACUCUCUCUGUUUCAAAAUAUAGAAACCCAGUACUGAAUGUUAAACUACUUCGAAUCUGGA